CAGAAGCAACAAAAGAUCGACAACACUGGAGAGAUAAGCGGACGUAGAGAGAGAGAGAGAGAGAGAGAGAGAGAGAGAGAGAGAGAGAGAGUCAAAGAGGGAGAAAUUCAGCGGAAGAACGAUAGAAAGAGCGGCACAGAGAGAGGUAUUAUGAAAUUGAAACGUUUCUUAUGUGAAUAACAAUGUGUGAGUGUUAUUAUCCCAAUGUCGACCCUGGAUGGACAGAACAAAGUCUAACUCACACGGGCCAAGAAUUUUUUGUAAUACAUUUAUUACCCAAUAUGUCCUACAUUUUCCAAAGGCUGCUAUGUCUUCUACAUUAGUUGACCAUGUAGAAGCUUCGUUUCAACUUCAUAGUACCUCGUUGUCUCUCAUUCUCUCCGUCUGAAGGACUACCUCUGUUUUCUGUCUCGUUGAACCUUUCUCUCCUUCUCUAUGUGUCUCUCUCUUUUUUCUGUCUCUCUGUCCCUGUCUCCGUCUUUAUCACUCUUUCAUUCGUUCGCUUACUCGGUCGUUACCUAUCUUAAAUUUUAGUGUAUUGAAAAAACGUCGCAAUGAAAUAGUUUUCAAACUAUACAAAAUGUAUUCAUUCAUGAAACCGUUGACAUUUACUGCAAUUCUUAGUUUAUCGACCCCGAAAAGAUGAAAAGCAAAGUUGACCUCGGCGGAAUUUGAACUUAAAACGUAAAGACAGAAGAAACGUUGCGAAGCAUUUCGUCCGACGUGCUAACGAUUCUGCCAGCUCUCCGCCUUAAUAACAAUGAAAAAAAAAAUCAGUCAUUUGACUGCGGCCAUUCUGGAGCAACAGAGAAGUAGUUCCUAUUUUCGCAACCUAUUUUGCGAAAAUAUAGUACAAGAAAGCAAAAGAAAUGAACUUCUGCUAAUUUUGUCUUGGAUAUUCCAAUGGGCUGCUCUUAAUAUUCGAUACUUGUCCAUAGGUAGCCAUGUAUCGCCCCCUGGAAGGAGUAAUUGCAAAUUGCAUCUCUGCAGUAUUUGAACCGAGGAUACAAAAGGACGCAGCUGAAUACCUCAAAACAUUUUGCUCGACACCAAACGAUGUAACCUUUACUGUUAUAGAUAUUGCAAUUGGUAAAAAUAUUUUUGAUGAAUUAUUAAUCCACAGCACUCUUAAAUAACAUCGACAACCAAACUAUUUCUCCAGGUGUAACGCUUGGGUAAUUGUGGGUGGAGAGUUUUCUUGCAUCUUCAUCUACUUGACACAACUUAAAACAGGCAGUAAGGGUAGAUUCUUUUAGAGAAAGUGCUUGUUGCAAGGCUGUUUGUUUUGUAAAGAAUACCAUUGUGGCCAUUCUCUAGAUCGACGCUUAGAUGAAUGAUGGCUGGCUGCCUCUCAUGAAUGGGAAAACUGAAGAUGCGCCCAAAAGCCUCAUUGGUACAGAUGUAUCUUCCUCUGUCAUACAGUGCGUCUUCGUCAUUUUUAAUUAUCUGCUGACUGCCAUUCUGCAUAAGAGUGCAUGUUGCAUUUAAACCUUUGUUUAGAUGAAAUGAAUGAGCGUUUGUGUGUGUGAGAGAGAGAGAGAGAGCGAGAGAGAGAGAGAGAGAGAGAGAGAGAGAAAGAGAGAGAGAGUGAAUGCCACUUAGACAUCAGCCUCUCUCUGUGUCUUCUCUCUGACACACACGCGCACAUAUAUACAAAAAAAAGAUGUAUGCAUAUGUGUUUAUGUAUGUACAUAUACAUGACAACACACCGUUUGACUGACUGACUGUCUCAUUAUCUCUCUCUUUCUCUCUCUCACACUCACACAAACACACACAUACAUAAAUGUAUACAAACGUACUUACAAAAACACACGUGUGCGUGUGUGACUGACGGGUGUGUGUGUGAGAGAGAGAGGGGGAGGAGAACAUUGCAGACAAUGAUUGAAAUAAACAUGAAGUGAAAAAUAUUGUAUAAAUAAAAGCUCUUGUACCGAA